UACGUAGGGUGCAAGCGUUGUCCGGAAUUAUUGGGCGUAAAGAGCUCGUAGGCGGUCUGUCACGUCGGCUGUGAAAACCCGGGGCUCAACCCCGGGCCUGCAGUCGAUACGGGCAGACUAGAGUGCGGUAGGGGAGACUGGAAUUCCUGGUGUAGCGGUGAAAUGCGCAGAUAUCAGGAGGAACACCGGUGGCGAAGGCGGGUCUCUGGGCCGUAACUGACGCUGAGGAGCGAAAGCGUGGGGAGCGAACAGGG
rnacentral:rRNA from 1 species